rnacentral:rRNA from 1 species
CGGUAAGGCCUUUCGGGGUACACGAGCGGCGAACGGGUGAGUAACACGUGGGUGAUCUGCCCUGCACUUCGGGAUAAGCCUGGGAAACUGGGUCUAAUACCGGAUAUGACCUCCUAUCGCAUGGUGGGUGGUGGAAAGAUUUAUCGGUGCAGGAUGGACCCGCGGCCUAUCAGCUUGUUGGUGGGGUAAUGGCCUACCAAGGCGACGACGGGUAGCCGACCUGAGAGGGUGACCGGCCACACUGGGACUGAGACACGGCCCAGACUCCUACGGGAGGCAGCAGUGGGGAAUAUUGCACAAUGGGCGAAAGCCUGAUGCAGCGACGCCGCGUGAGGGAUGACGGCCUUCGGGUUGUAAACCUCUUUCAGCAGGGACGAAGCGCAAGUGACGGUACCUGCAGAAGAAGCACCGGCUAACUACGUGCCAGCAGCCGCGGUAAUACGUAGGGUGCAAGCGUUGUCCGGAAUUACUGGGCGUAAAGAGUUCGUAGGCGGUUUGUCGCGUCGUUUGUGAAAACCAGCAGCUCAACUGCUGGCUUGCAGGCGAUACGGGCAGACUUGAGUACUGCAGGGGAGACUGGAAUUCCUGGUGUAGCGGUGAAAUGCGCAGAUAUCAGGAGGAACACCGGUGGCGAAGGCGGGUCUCUGGGCAGUAACUGACGCUGAGGAACGAAAGCGUGGGUAGCGAACAGGAUUAGAUACCCUGGU